UACGUAGGGUGCAAGCGUUAAUCGGAAUUACUGGGCGUAAAGCGUGCGCAGGCGGCUUUGCAAGACAGAUGUGAAAUCCCCGGGCUCAACCUGGGAACUGCAUUUGUGACUGCAAGGCUAGAGUACGGUAGAGGGGGAUGGAAUUCCGCGUGUAGCAGUGAAAUGCGUAGAUAUGCGGAGGAACACCGAUGGCGAAGGCAGCUCUCUGGGACGGUACUGACGCUGAGACGCGAAAGCGUGGGGAGCGAACAGG
rnacentral:rRNA from 1 species